GGAAAAAGGCAACAAAACCUCCGAGGUGGGCCAGGAACAGCACAGCCCUGACCUGCAGUGGAGAGGAGCUCUCUUGUUUUAGUCCAACCAUCAGAAGAAAAGGGAUUAAAGCCACCACACAGCAUCAGAUCUGUCUCUGAUACAAACAUCCAUUUCAUGGGAGAUAGAGCCAAAGACUGGACUCCGAGCUUACAGCAGCCAUUUGGAGCUUCUUAAGGACAGACAGCAUAGCCAGAAGAGGAAGAACAUGUCCUUUUAAUUUAACCUGACCUGUGAUCAGCAUGGUGCCAUCUCCCCUCAAUUUGGGCCAAUGAGAGAACAAAUUGUCGCCUCCACCACUUUCUUUGCUAUUUU